rnacentral:rRNA from 1 species
GAUGAACGCUGGCGGCGUGCCUAAUACAUGCAAGUCGAGCGAACAGACGAGGAGCUUUCUCCUCUGACGUUAGCGGCGGACGGGUGAGUAACACGUGGAUAACCUACCUAUAAGACUGGGAUAACUUCGGGAAACCGGAGCUAAUAACGGAUAAUAUAUUGAACCGCAUGGUUCAAUAGUGAAAGACGGUUUUGCUGUCACUUAUAGAUGGAUCCGCGCCGCAUUAGCUAGUUGGUAAGGUAACGGCUUACCAAGGCAACGAUGCGUAGCCGACCUGAGAGGGUGAUCAGCCACACUGGAACUGAGACACGGUCCAGACUCCUACGGGAGGCAGCAGUAGGGAAUCUUGCGCAAAGGGCGAAAGCUUGACGGAGCAAUGCCGCGUGAGUGAUGAAGGUCUUCGGGUCGUAAAACUCUGUUAUUAGGGAAGAAAAAAUGUGUAAGUAACUAUGGACGUCUUGACGGUACCUAAUCAGAAAGCAACGGCUAACUACGUG